rnacentral:lncRNA from 1 species
AAAAUUUUAGAGGUGAAUGGUCAGAGUUUGGAGAAUUUACCACAUAGUGAAGCAGUCAAGAUAUUUCUCUCAGCUGGAAAUGUUGUAAAACUAAAGGUCCAACAUGGUGCAAUGGAUAACCUUGUGAAGGCUGCCAAUCGCAAAAUAGACCAUGACAAAAAGCAAUCGAUGACAGAUUAUAUUUACCCAGCCCUGCUUUUGGUGACAGGCAUUGCUGUCCUCUCUGCCGGCGCUUUCUUUGUACACAAACGCUUCUUCAACAGAUAAUUAUGUAGAAUUUUAGACAUUUAGUUAUUUUAUCAUCUAUCAAAUGAAUUGGAUCUCCUCCU